AGAGUUUGAUCCUGGCUCAGGAUGAACGCUAGCUACAGGCUUAACACAUGCAAGUCGAGGGGCAUCAUGGAGUUUGCUUGCAAACUCUGAUGGCGACCGGCGCACGGGUGAGUAACGCGUAUCCAACCUUCCCUAUAGUAGAGGAUAGCCCGGCGAAAGUCGGAUUAAUACUCUAUGUUUUCCGUUGCAGACAUCUAAGAUGGAACAAAGGCUUGCCGCUAUAGGAUGGGGAUGCGUCUGAUUAGGUAGUCGGCGGGGUAACGGCCCACCGAGCCAUCGAUCAGUAGGGGUUCUGAGAGGAAGGUCCCCCACAUUGGAACUGAGACACGGUCCAAACUCCUACGGGAGGCAGCAGUGAGGAAUAUUGGUCAAUGGGCGAGAGCCUGAACCAGCCAAGUAGCGUGCAGGACGACGGCCCUAUGGGUUGUAAACUGCUUUUAUGCGGGGAUAAAGUUCACUACGUGUAGUGUUUUGUAGGUACCGCAUGAAUAAGGACCGGCUAAUUCCGUGCCAGCAGCCGCGGUAAUACGGAAGGUCCGGGCGUUAUCCGGAUUUAUUGGGUUUAAAGGGAGCGCAGGCCGGAGGUCAAGCGUGACGUGAAAUGUAGCCGCUCAACGGCUGAACUGCGUCGCGAACUGGCUUUCUUGAGUGAGUUCGAUGUGGGCGGAAUUCGUGGUGUAGCGGUGAAAUGCUUAGAUAUCACGAAGAACUCCGAUUGCGAAGGCAGCCCACAAGGCCUUUACUGACGCUAAAGCUCGAAGGUGCGGGUAUCGAACAGGAUUAGAUACCCUGGUAGUCCGCACGGUAAACAAUGGAUGCCCCCUAUUCCCCCCUCCAGGGCGUGUGGCCAAACGAAAGCGUUAAACCUUCCCCCCCCGGGAAUUCCCCCGGCAACGGUGAAACUCAAAGGAAUUGACCGGGGCCCCCCCCAACCGAAGAAACUGUGGGUUUAAUUCCAAUAACCCCCAAGGAACCUUACCCCGGGCUUUGAAUUGCAGGAAAA
rnacentral:rRNA from 1 species